rnacentral:rRNA from 1 species
UACGAAGGGGGCUAGCGUUGUUCGGAAUACUGGGCGUAAAGCGCGCGCAGGCGGUUCUUCAAGUCAGAGGUGAAAGCCCAGAGCUCAACUCUGGAAUGGCCUUUGAGACUAGAGAACUAGGGUACGGGAGAGGUGAGUGGAAUUCCGAGUGUAGAGGUGAAAUUCGUAGAUAUUCGGAAGAACACCAGUGGCGAAGGCGGCUCACUGGCCCGUUACCGACGCUCAGGCGCGACAGCGUGGGGAGCAAACAGG